rnacentral:snRNA from 1 species
AGCUUUGCGCAGUGGCAGUAUCGUAGCCAAUGAGGUUUAUCCGAGGCGCGAUUAUUGCUAAUUAAAGAAGUAUCCAGUCUAAAAUGAUAGUAGAACCAAGGUGGAGAAAUCCUUAAUCAGGAAUCAUAUUCUUUGUCUCUCAGAAAACCGA